AGUGUUACGUGGCUGCAUGACCAUACACUUCUGGGUAGAGCCCAGUGAAGACAAAGAAGACUCAAGGAAUAGCCCUUGAGGGCUCAGGAGCUAUACAGAUGGGAUAGAGGGUGUGAGUGCUGGGAAGCCCCAUCCAUGGUUCGCUGGAGAUUAGGAGGCCUGUUAAUCUGAAGACAAAGGAAUGAAGAUGAAAACAUUUCUGAAAAUGUGGGUGGAGACACCUGGGCCUUUACAGGGUACACUCCAGAGCUGCUUCCAGGCAGGGACCCCGACUGAGAGAAGCCAGAGCCAGAGAGUCACAGGCUUGCUUGCUCUUAUCUUCCCUCCGCUGGGGGAGUCAAGGGGAGAUCUGGCCCCUCUGCUCUGCCCUCCUGAUUUCCCGUCUAAGGGAUUUAGGAGACUCUCGCCUUUUCCUAAUCUCUCCCUUUGCAGAAUUUCUGCGAAGUCACAAUCCCAUUUCCAGGCAAAGGUGCUUGGUCAUAAAGAUAAU
rnacentral:lncRNA from 1 species